AAACAUGGUGUAUAUCUUAAAAUUGUUUGUGUUGACAAAACUAGAAUCAAAUUUAACAUUUUAUACCACAACACAAGUUCUAUUUGGAAAUUGAACUUUUAUUCUAUAGCAACCAUUUUUUUCAAAUCUAAAUAACCAUGCCUUCUAUAAUAACAAAUGUUGCUAUUAUCAUGGGACUUUUAAAAUUACAUUUAUUGCAUGGGAUUGUUUUUAUAGCAUGAGAAUGUUCUGUUUGGAAUUAUAUCAUGGUCAGUCUAAAUAGAAAAAGCAAAAUUUCUUUGAAAACCUAAACAUUGCUAUAUUGGUCACUAUCAAACAUACAAUUUUCUAAUAAUUGUGUAGCGGUCUAAGUGGAAGAGAUUGCAUUAUCUUGUGCAGGACGAGGAGAGGACAUGCAGUGGGCACAGAAAGUCAAUGGAACAGAUGCCACUGUGGCACCAAGACUGUAAUGACUCUGUGUGCUCCUAUCUAGUUCUUCAACAAAUCCUGUCAACUCUACCUUCCAAAUGCCUCUUGAAUCCAGCCAUCUCACCACCUCCAACACUACCACCAUUUUUCUUAAAGCCACCAUCAUCUCUUCCCUGGACUAUUACAAUACCUUCCUAAUUAUCUCCCUGCCUCUGCUAUUGAUUCUUUAGGGUCCGUUUUCCACACAGUAGCCAAAGCAAUUUUUAAAAAAAUUAUUUUAAAAUGUGAUUCUCUUCUUUGUGGCUUUCCAUCACAGCCUAGAAAAAAUUGAAAGAUCUGUAAGGCCCUAAUGACCUGUCCUUCACUACGUGUCUGACCCUAUAGCCUACUGUUCUCCCCUUGUGCGGUGUACUGCAGCCACGUUGGCCUUCUUGCUAUUCUUUGAAUACAAGGGAGCUUCUACUUCAAGGCAUUUACAUUGGCUGUUGCCUUAGCUUAGAACGCUCUUUCUCCAGAUAGCCGCAGAGCCCGCUCUCUCACCUGACUCAUGUCUCUGCUCAAAUGUUAAUGAUCAAGAGGCAGUCCCCGGCCUCCCUCUUAAAAUUACAACCUGUCACUCUCCAAUCCUUUCCUCACGAUUUUCUCAAAAGCACUUACCGCUAACCAACAUUAUAUCUAAAUUUUUUUUUGUCUCUUUUUAUUGGAAUGUAAGUUUCAUGUAAGCAGGAACUGUAUAUCACUGCUAUACCCUCAGCAUUUAAAACAAUGGCUGUACAUCAUACAUACUCAAUAAAUAUUUGUUGGAUAAAC
rnacentral:lncRNA from 1 species